rnacentral:lncRNA from 1 species
AGAUGUCCUCACCAUAAGCAGGGGGAGCAUGGCGGAGCUCUUCGAUCCAUCGGUUCAUCUCCUGGAGCCUUCGAUCCAGGAGGUCCUCUCGACUGCGAGUCUCGAGGGUCUUCUAAUAGAGUGGAGGUAGGGAUCCUUCGAGAGUAAAAUCACGAUCAGACUGAGAGCUCUCCGCCCUCGGAUUCUCCUUUUCGGGGAAGACAGGACGACUGGCCUAAGUGGCCCACCCUACUGCCAGAUCUUGGAACUCCGACGAUGCUCUUUCCAACUGCACUGACACCUGCAGCUGUUGCUAUUGCUGCUGCAUGGCCUGCACCACUUCGGUGAGGCCUCUGACCUGCUGAACCAACUGGUCAAACUACUCUGUAUCGACCGCCAUUAUCGGAGGAGGAGGAGCCUGGGAAAUUGGAGGCGAGGUCGGAGCUUGAGAUCUGGCUGUGGAGGCC